UACGAAGGGGGCUAGCGUUGCUCGGAAUUACUGGGCGUAAAGGGCGCGUAGGCGGCCCUGUUAGUCAGGCGUGAAAGUCCUGGGCUCAACCUGGGAACUGCGCUUGAUACGGCAGAGCUAGAGGAUGGAAGAGGGUCGCGGAAUUCCACGUGUAGCAGUGAAAUGCGUAGAGAUGUGGAGGAACACCGAUGGCGAAGGCAGCCCCCUGGGCUAACACUGACGCUCAUGCACGAAAGCGUGGGGAGCAAACAGG
rnacentral:rRNA from 1 species